rnacentral:ncRNA from 1 species
GGAAGCCGGUCGAAAUCCGGCGCUGACCCGCAACGGUAGGCCUUCGGCUCCUUCUCCGGAGCCGAAGGCGAGCCCGAUAC